rnacentral:tRNA from 1 species
GCGCCCGUAGCUCAGCUGGAUAGAGCGUCUGGCUACGAACCAGAAGGCCGGGAGUUCGAAUCUCUCCGGGCGCGCCA